rnacentral:misc_RNA from 1 species
UUGUACACACCGCCCGUCAAGUCAUGAAAGUCGGUAACACCCGAAGCCAGUGGCCUAACCGCAAGGGAGGAGCUGUCGAAGGUGGGAUCGGUGAUUAGGACUAAGUCGUAACAAGGUAGCCGUACCGGAAGGUGCGGCUGGAUCACCUCCUUUCUAAGGAGCAUGUGCACCUCUCCUCUGUAUACAGGGAGAUCAGGGUGCCAAGUCACGCGUCAGGCGUAUGUUCUGGCGGUGGCGCUCAUGGGUGGAACAUUGACAUUGAUGCCGGCUGAUGUGCCGGGCUGCUAGUACGCCUCCUUGUGGGGUGGGAAAAUGGUCUGGUGUGUCGAGGGCAUGUUGCACGCUGUUGGGUCCUGAGGGACCGGGCCGCACCUUUUGGUGUGUCUGGUUUCUUGUCGGACCCUUUCCGUCGUCCCUUGAGUGGAUGGUGGUGGGGUACCGCCCGUAUAUUGAGAACUACACAGUGGACGCGAGCAUCUUAGAUUCACCGGUUUACCCGGUGGAUCACAAAGAUCUAUUUAUAGAUCAUUGGUCAAUUCUGUCUCCUCUAGGGGAGGCGAAACGAUUCAAUCUCAUGUGAUUUCAAGAUUCUAAGAGCAAACGGUGGAUGCCUUGGCAUCUGGAGCCGAAGAAGGACGUAUAAAUCUGCGAUAAGCCUCGGGGAGCUGAUAAUAGAGCUUUGAUCCGAGGAUCUCCGAAUGGGGAAACCCCGCCAGGCCGUUUGGGCGACCUGUGACUCCCGCCUGAAUAUAUAGGGCGGGUAGAGGGAACGUGGGGAACUGAAACAUCUAAUGUACC